AUGUCACGUCCAUCUGUGCAUCACUACACCAGGAAAACACCUUCUCUCAUCAAGAAAUCUUUUUUCCCCACUCGUCGAAAUCACGUUUCGCUCGUCAAAAAGCACUUUUUUCACUCGUCAGAAUCCCUUUUUUUUGCUCAUCUAAAUCACUUUUCGCUGGUCAAAAUCCCUUUUUUUCACUCGUCAAAAUCACUUUUUUUGCUCGUCAAAAUCACUUUUCGCUCGUCAAAAUCACUUUUUUUGCUAAUCAAAAUCACUUUUCGCUCGUCAAAAUCACUUUUUUUGCUAAUCAAAAUCACUUUUCGCUCGUCAAAAUCACUUUUUUUGCUAAUCAAAAUCACUUUUCGCUCGUCAAAAUCACUUUUUUUGCUAAUCAAAAUCACUUUUCGCUCGUCAAAAUCACUUUUUUUGCUAAUCAAAAUCACUUUUCGCUCGUCAAAAUCACUUUUUUUGCUAAUCAAAAUCACUUUUCGCUCGUCAAAAUCACUUUUUUUCAUUUUUUUUGCUCUUCAAAAUCAUUUUCCGCUUGUCAAAAUCACUUUUUUUGCUCGUCAAAAUCACUUUUCACUCGUCAAAAUCACUUUUUUUGCUCGUCAAAAUCACUUUUCGCUCGUCAAAAAACUUUUUUCACUCAUCAAAAUCACUUUUUUUGCUAAUCAAAAUCACUUUUCUCUCGUCAAAAUCACUUUUCGCUCGUCAAAAUCACUUUUUUUGCUAAUCAAAAUCACUUUUCGCUCGUCAAAAUCACUUUUUUUCAUUUUUUUUGCUCUUCAAAAUCAUUUUCCGCUUGUCAAAAUCACUUUUUUUGCUCGUCAAAAUCACUUUUCACUCGUCAAAAUCACUUUUUCCGCUCGUCAAAAUCACUUUUUUUGCUCGUCAAAAUCACUUCUUACCUAUCAAAAUCACUUUUCACUCGUCAAAAUCACUUUUUUUGCUCGUCAAAAUCACUUUUUACUCAUCAAAAUCACUUUUCGCUCGUCAAAAUCACUUUUUUUCACUUUUUUUGCUCGUCAAAAUCACGUUUCACUCAUCAAAAUCACUUUUUUCAGUCGUCAAAAUCACUUUUUUUGCUCGUCAAAAUCACUUUAUUUGCUCGUCAAAAUCACUUUUUUUCUUUGUCAAAAUCACUUUUUUUGCUCAUCAAAAUCACUUUUCACUUGUCAAAAUCACUUUUUACUCAUCAAAAUCACUUUUCGCUCGUCAAAAUCACUUUUUUCAUUUUUUUUGCUCGUCAAAAUCACUUUUUUUUCUUUUUUUUUUGCUCAUCAAAAUCACUUUUUUUGCUCAUCAAAAUCACUUUUCACUCGUCAAAAUCACUUUUUUUCAUUUUUUUUGCUCUUCAAAAUCAUUUUUCACUCGUCAAAAUCACUUUUUUUGCUCGUCAAAAUCACUUUUCACUCAUCAAAAUCACUUUUUUUACUCGUCAAAAUCACUUUUUUUGCUCGUCAAAAUUACUUUUCGAUCGUCAAAAUCACUUUUCACUCAUCAAAAUCACUUUUUUUGUUCAUCAAAAUCACUUUU
rnacentral:lncRNA from 1 species